rnacentral:rRNA from 1 species
CUACCAGGGUUUCUAAUCCUGUUUGAUCCCCACGCUUUCGCGCCUCAGCGUCAAUACUCGUCCAGGAAGGCGCCUUCGCCUCUGGUGUUCCAUCGCAUAUCUACGGAUUUUACCCCUACAUGCGAUAUUCCCCUUCCCCCUCCGAGAUUCUAGACCUGUAGUUUCAGACGCAGUUUCGAGGUUGAGCCCCGAGAUUUCACAUCUGACUUGCAGGUCCGCCUACGCGCGCUUUACGCCCAAUAAAUCCGAACAACGCUUGCACCCUUCGUAUUACCGCGGCUGCUGGCAC